GCGGCGUCUGGGCAGGAGACACGGCUUGGGCAGGGGCCAGCGCUGCCUUUCUCCGCCGCUCCCUUCUCUGCCGCCGAGUGUGUGCAUGUGUGGCCCCAUCUGCUGAUCCGGGCACCCACCUCCUCGGGAGCAGGGCCAGAGGUGGUUGCCCAUAGGCGGUGGGCAGGAGCCAGGGCGUCCCCACGUUCAAAGAGGCUGCUUGUUGCUCUGACCAGCCAGUCUGGGAGCUGCUUGGGAUACAGGUGGACCUCCCAACUGCCCCUCAGACAAACCUGAGGGUGCCAGCCCAGGGCCCAUGAAACUGAAGGCAUGGUGCCCAGGUGUGGAGCCUGCUUGCCUCGGACGUGGCGCUGGAGUCCCACAUGCCAAACUGCUGGUCCAGACACGGUGUAUGUGUAGGAUGGCUGCUCCUAGGCAGGAGGAGAACCGUAGUUGCGCUGCGACAGAAGGUGCGUCAGGAAAGGGUGAUGGUGGAGGCUCACAUCACCGAGUCCUGAGAGAGGUUUCCUGGAAAGGUUGGCCACACGGCGAUACAGACCAUUCAGGAAAUGGAGUGGGGAUCCCAGGUCCAGCCUCACAUGUUAGUACUGUCCCCACUAUGCCUGUGUUCUUGGGCCUGGACUGCAGAGCCUCAAAGACGGGCUCCCAGGGGGCAGUGGUUCUGACUCCCAUUGUGAGACCUGUGGUGAGGCGCCUUCCCGGCUUAGGCAGAGAGCUCAGUGGCUCCCGAUCAGGGGUGCUCUUCCUUACUUUCAGAACUGCUGUUCAGAGGCUGUUGAGAUCAGGAUGCUGUUUAUGACUAAGCCAAUUCAAAGUCAACUUUUGUUUUGCUUUAAAAAUCUUUGAAUGCCGAUGCCUUAUUGUGGAAGCUGUGACAGGUUUUAUUUCCUUGGGCUCAAAAAUCACUGCAGACGGUGACUGCAGCCAUGAGAUUAAAAACUGCUUGCUCCUUGGAAAGCUAUGACAAACAUAGACAGCAUAUUGAAAAGUAGAGACAUCACUUUGCUGACAAAGAUCCAUAUAGUCAAAGCUAUGGUUUUUCCAGUAGUCACGGAUGGGUGUGAGAAUUGGACCAUAAAGAAGGCUGAGCCCUGAAGAACUGAUGCUUUCGAAUUGUGUUGCUGGAGAAGACUCUGUUCUAACAGAAAAUAAACUGUUUUUAAAUGUAUUACAAUGGAAAAUUUCAAACAUGCACAAAAGUGGAUGGAGUAGUAUAAUAAAUACCCAUGACCCAUCAAUUAAUCUCAGCAAUUUUUAACACAAAGCCAAUCUCAACUAGAUCAUUCUUCUCUCCAUUUCUUUAUACAGUAGAUUCUAAAACAGCUUUUUAAACCUUGAAAUUGAAUUGAUGCUCAUUUUAUAAAACACAGCCUUGCCAACUUUGUUAUUACAUUUAAAAAAUGCUUGAGGUAAUUAUUUCCAGUUUUUUAAUAUGAAUUUUCAUAUUGGAAAAGACCCUGAUGCUGGGAAAGAUUGAAGGCAGGAAGAGAGUGGAUGACAGAGGAUGAGAUGGUUGGAUGGCAUCACCAACUCAAUGGACAUGAGUUUGAGCAGAUGCUUAGCAGAAGUCAAGUUACAUUUUCCUUAUGCUAAUCCACUGCUGUAACACGUAUAGCAUUUCUGGUUUUGAACACUGAAUGUGUUUGCAUUAUAGUUGAAUUUAGAGUGUGUGGCUGUUAUGUGUGGUUCAGAAUUCUGAGUAGUCCUUUCUGGGAUCACCUGAAAGCUGAGACAAAGCGUGAGCCCUUCACGUGGACUGUGCUGUGCGUCAGAAAGAUAAUACGAGCCACCUACACAAUCAAAAAUUUCCUAAAACCCAAUGGGCUCCUUGACAUCCUUCUUUCACUGUGAGUCUUGAAAUCUUCUGUGUGAUUUCCACAUCUAGUGUUGCACCAGCCUGUCUCACGUGCUCAGGGGCUGCACGAGGCGAGUGACUGCCAUGGCCGACAGCACAGAGCUUCCAGGUUGAGUCGAGUGACUCGGAAACUUGGCCCGUUUGACUUGUUUUACCCCAUAAGGAAGUGAAGUGGGCUGUAGAGGAAUGAAUGUGAGGAAUGCCCAGGAAUGCAGGUGAGCUCCAUGGAGACCGUUUAAAGCAACGAGAGGAGUGAGGGCAAUAGAGUGAGUUGUGUCCCCCUGACCCGAACCCCCGCCUGAAGUCGAGCUUCUCUCUACAGACUUCAUCGUUGUUAAUGGCUUGCCAUGUUUCCUCCAGAGAAACCUUUUCUGCGCCUGAGAUGGAACUUCCUCCUCAUUGUGGUUUAUGGGACCAGCUGAUUCUAAACCUGGAAACCCUGAGAGCUGAACUGGACCAGAUGAGAGUGCGAGGGGCUCCCUUCCACUAUGGGUAGGCUGCUCCCCCGGGCAGCUCCCCUCAGCGCUGUCGAGUGUGACAAGGGCCUGUCUGGUGUGUGGACAGUAUGACUGGGUGUUGCUCAUGGUCGCACCUCAAGGAGCCUGUAGCUUCGUGACCAGCGAGAGGGAAGAGACAAGCAUCGUUCCUUAGGGUCAAACUUGGUACCAUGGAGUGGUAGUCACAGUAUUGACAACACUCAAAACCACAGGCAGAGAUUUGGAAGUGUGGGGGCGACCAGUUGAUAUUUGGG
ensembl:lncRNA